rnacentral:rRNA from 1 species
CACCGGCGGCUCGAGUGGUGGCCACUUUUAUUGUGUCUAAAGCGUCCGUAGCCGGCUUGGCAAGUCCCCUGGGAAAUCUGGCGGCUUAACCGUCAGGCGUCCAGAGGAUACUGCCAGGCUUGGGACCGGGAGAGGUGAGAGGUACCUCAGGGGUAGGGGUGAAAUCUUGUGAUCCCUGAGGGACCACCAGUGGCGAAGGCGUCUCACUAGAACGGGUCCGACGGUCAGGGACGAAAGCUGGGGGCACGAACCGG